AGCUUUGCGCAGUGGCAGUAUCGUAGCCAAUGAGGUUUAUCCGAGGCGCGAUUAUUGCUAAUUGAAAAAACUUUCACAGGUCAAUCUGAUAUACUUAAGAACCACUGCUUUUAAAUAACAAUUUUCAAAAAUAUAAAAUAUA